GGGACACCGCGGGUGCAUGCUAACACCGCUCAUCAUUAACAGAAACGCCCGAGAAAAACUGAGCGAUUCCUCCGCUCCUGGCGCCACGCAAAAUGCUUCGCAAGGUCCCCAGGGAUGGGGGCGUUCAUUAUCCCCGUUUUGCAGACCUGGAAAUCGAGGUUCCGGGAGGUGAAGCGACUCGCCCCAGGGCUCGCCGCUAGGAGAGGAGGCGCUGGGAACCCGCGCUACUCCCGGAUCCGGGGCGCAAAGCAGGGCGCGGACACUCUCACAAAAACCACGAAGUCUCUUUUCUGGUUUCUUCCGGCCGAGCAACUUUUUAUUUGAGAUCCUACUACACAUCCAGAAAAUAAUCCCACCCAUGGCAAAGAGACCCUAUGGAAUUCAUUUCUGCCCUCCAGAUGUUGGGCGCAGCCACUUGGCGGGCGUUGGUGUUGGUGGGGACUUGCAGGGCAGCCAGCCCACCCUGUGAAGAGAUGCUGGGAAGGAAGAGCUGGAAGGUCCCUUGGAGCUGCAGGUUUUGAAUUGCUCAUCUGGACUUACCAGAGCGGCGACUUCCAGGAUGAUAGCCAGCCACCAGCCUCCUGCGUCUGUUUAUUUCUACAUUAAAUAAAAGGAAAUGCAAUUUGAAAUGCAGC